GACGAACGCUGGCGGCGUGCUUAACACAUGCAAGUCGAACGGAAAGGCCCUGCUUUUGUGGGGUGCUCGAGUGGCGAACGGGUGAGUAACAAGUGAGUAACCUGCCCUUGACUUUGGGAUAACUUCAGGAAACUGGGGCUAAUACCGGAUAGGAGCUCCUGCUGCAUGGUGGGGGUUGGAAAGUUUCGGCGGUUGGGGAUGGACUCGCGGCUUAUCAGCUUGUUGGUGGGGUAGUGGCUUACCAAGGCUUUGACGGGUAGCCGGCCUGAGAGGGUGACCGGCCACAGUGGGACUGAGAUACGGCCCAGACUCCUACGGGAGGCAGCAGUGGGGAAUAUUGCACAAUGGGCGGAAGCCUGAUGCAGCAACGCCGCGUGCGGGAUGACGGCCUUCGGGUUGUAAACCGCUUUCGCCUGUGACGAAGCGUGAGUGACGGUAAUGGGUAAAGAAGCACCGGCUAACUACGUG
rnacentral:rRNA from 1 species